CCUGAACAACUCCUACAGUGAAGAGGCAUUUCCUGAACAAUGGAGCGACAUCCUCGAGACACAACAACAGAAGCUUUCUAAAGACAUGCAAACCAUGAGAUGGAAACUUGUUUUGUAAUUCACUACCAGUGACUGGCAGUCCUGAAACAGAAUGUCCAACUUUUCUUGGCAAAUCCAGACCUACCAUCAGGAUGCAGUGUCAUGUAAGACACUGCAAGAGCUUUGUCUUUCUGGGAUUCCUAAGCCUUUGAAUGGAGAAAACAAGACACUGCUGCAUAUAUGACGAUGAAAAUACCAUAUUGUUGGACAUUAAUUAAAAAGAGCAUUGACCAAUGACAUGUAUACCGUGGCUAGUGAUUGAUAAUUGUUGUGAUUUUUCUGAUUUGGCCAUACAGUCAGAAUGAAGGAAAGACAAAUAUCAUGGUUCAUGAACUUCAGAUACACUUUUAAGCUCCUCUGGUACAAACUGUCAUAAUCUUAUGGUAUAGUGAAGUGUCUGUCAUAAGUCUGUCUGUCAACUUUUUCUUUAAAUUACUUUUUUAAAUUGAAAAUCACAGGGCCCUUAUAUUUGGUCAGCAAGUACUUGGGAUAAAUACUUUAAAGUUUCAUCAUGUAGAUUACCUUGACCUUCUUUCAAGGUCACAGGUGUCCAAAACAGGCAUCAGUUUCUUAAAAACUGGUCUUGAGUCAUGAUAUUUCAUGAUGAUUAUAUUUUAUUCAGUAUUCCUUUGCAUUGCUUUGUUUAAAAAAUAUUUUUUUCAAAUUGUUCCAUCAAAUAUAUGUACAUGUAUGUAGAUAUAUGUAAUGACAGCAUACUUGUUGAUAACUUUGUCGUAGCGAUUGUUUUGUUAACUUUUAUGCAUAUUGAUAUUUUUUUAUGAAAUUAAAUCAUUGUUUAUCUUC